rnacentral:rRNA from 1 species
UCGUGGGGUGACUUGUCUGGUCUAUUCCGAUAACGAACGAGAUCCUAAUAUCUAAAUAGAGUCGUCCGCGAAUGCCUUCGGUCUUCGGAUCGAGGGAACUGCAGCGUGGCGAUUAAUUAAUUUCAAUUAACUUCUUAGGUAGAUCGGGGCCGAAAAGGUCCCUGAAAUGGGUUAAUAACA